AUUGUUCAACUUUUAUUUUAUUCAUUCUAUUCAUUAAGUGGCCACCAAUUAAAGCUUAUGUCACUCUUUAUAACAUCUAACAUAAUUGUAUAUAUAAAAUAAUAAAUAAAUAUUAUGUAACUUUUAUAAUAAAGUAUUAUGCCUCUUGCAAAAAAAAAACAUUGGGAGUGUGAUAUAUGUCAUCUUAUUUAUUGCCCUUUAUAAUUUUUUUUUUUUUGGAUAAAAUGUGAAAUUUACUGAUAAAUGAAGAAGAAUAGAAAUUUACAAAAGAUUAUGAAAAGUUAUAAAAGCUAUAAAAGAAAAACUAUACAAUGCUUGUAAGAAAUGAAUUUCAAGCUCUGGUGUGUUAAGCUGUAACUUUGAACCACCGACACAUCAAGCCUGCAAACUUGUGGUCGGCCUUAUAUCGAAAAGAAGUAAUCAUAUUUCGCAUAGCCUUAUCAAUAAUCUGAACCACAUGUUCUACUGUCUAAAACCCUGUUUGGUGCUUCUCUCAUUCCUCUCUUUCUAAAGAUGAUAGAUACUACUCCCAAACACCAUUUUGAGAAGAAUUUUGUCCAUGACAUGAAGAAAAUUUCCACUCACAAACUGCAUUGUAGCCAUCUAGUCUGGAUCAGUCCUACCCCCACUCAGUCGAUUUACAAGCUUGUCCCAUACCGUAAG
rnacentral:lncRNA from 1 species